rnacentral:rRNA from 1 species
UGGGGAAUUUUGGACAAUGGGCGAAAGCCUGAUCCAGCAAUGCCGCGUGUGUGAAGAAGGCCUUCGGGUUGUAAAGCGCUUUUGUCCGGAAAGAAAUCCUUGGCUCUAAUACAGUCGGGGAUGACGGUACCGGAAGAAUAAGCACCGGCUAACUACGUGCCAGCAGCCGCGGUAAUACNUAGGGUGCAAGCGUUAAUCGGAAUUACUGGGCGUAAAGCGUGCGCAGGCGGUUUGCUAAGACCGAUGUGAAAUCCCCGGGCUCAACCUGGGAACUGCAUUGGUGACUGGCAGGCUAGAGUAUGGCAGAGGGGGGUAGAAUUCCACGUGUAGCAGUGAAAUGCGUAGAGAUGUGGAGGAAUACCGAUGGCGAAGGCAGCCCCCUGGGCCAAUACUGACGCUCAUGCACGAAAGCGUGGGGAGCAAACAGGAUUAGAUACCCUGGUAGUCCACGCCCUAAACGAUGUCAACUAGUUGUUGGGGAUUCAUUUCCUUAGUAACUAGCUAACGCGUGAAGUUGACCGCCUGGGGGAGUAGGUCGCAAGAUUAAAACUCAAAUGAAUUG